AUACGUAGGGGGCGAGCGUUGUCCGGAAUGAUUGGGCGUAAAGGGCGCGUAGGCGGCGCGGUAAGUCUGGAGUGAAAGUCCUGCUUUCAAGGUGGGAAUUGCUUUGGAUACUGCCGCGCUUGAGUGCAGGAGAGGUUAUCGGAAUUCCCGGUGUAGCGGUGAAAUGCGUAGAGAUCGGGAGGAACACCAGUGGCGAAGGCGGGUAACUGGACUGCAACUGACGCUGAGGCGCGAAAGUGUGGGGAGCAAACAGGAUUAGAGACCCUGUUAGUCCACACUGUAAACGAUGAAUGCUAGGUGUAAGAGGUAUCGACCCCUUUUGUGCCGGAGUCAACACAAUAAGCAUUCCGCCUGGGGAGUACGGCCGCAAGGUUGAAACUCAAAGGAAUUGACGGGG
rnacentral:rRNA from 1 species